CCAGCGACCUGCACGCAUCGGCUUGCAUCAGCAUUUCUUGGAUCUUGUUGUGGCUGGCUGAUUGAUUGAUUGGUUCAUUGGUUGGCUGCUCGUGAUCUUUGAAUCCGAAUCUCUCUCUGUGUGUGUUGGAGAGCUUUGGUGGUGUUGGUUUUCUUGGUCGGCGACGAUGGUGGCGGCGGCGGCGGGGCAGGUAGUGGCGG
rnacentral:lncRNA from 1 species